rnacentral:rRNA from 1 species
GACGAACGCUGGCGGCGUGCUUAACACAUGCAAGUCGAGCGGAGCGGCGAACAGGUGAGUAACGCAUGAGUAACUGCCCCCCUCUCUGGGAUAACAGUUGGAAACAGCUGCUAAUACCGGAUAGUGGUGGAUGACUGGCGUGCUUGCAGCUUGUUGGUGGGGUAGUUGCCUACCACGGCGACGACGGUUAGCCGGCCUGAGAGGGCGACCGGCCACAUUGGGCUGAGACACGGCCCAGACUCCUACGGGAGGCAGCAGUGGGGAAUAUUGGGCAAUGGGCGCAAGCCUGACCCAGCAACGCCGCGUGAAGGAAGACGGUCUUCGGAUGGUAAACUUCUUUAGACAGGGACGCGGUACCUGUAGAAUAAGCCACGGCUAACUACGUGCCAGCAGCCGCGGUAAUUC